rnacentral:rRNA from 1 species
GGGAAACUGCCUGAUGGAGGGGGAUAACUACUGGAAACGGUAGCUAAUACCGCAUAACCUCGCAAGAGCAAAGAGGGGGACCUUAGGGCCUCUCGCCAUCAGAUGUGCCCAGAUGGGAUUAGCUAGUAGGUGAGGUAAUGGCUCACCUAGGCGACGAUCCCUAGCUGGUCUGAGAGGAUGACCAGCCACACUGGAACUGAGACACGGUCCAGACUCCUACGGGAGGCAGCAGUGGGGAAUAUUGCACAAUGGGCGCAAGCCUGAUGCAGCCAUGCCGCGUGUGUGAAGAAGGCCUUCGGGUUGUAAAGCACUUUCAGCGAGGAGGAAGGCGGUAAGGUUAAUAACCUUAUCGAUUAACGUUACUCGCAGAAGAAGCACCGGCUAACUCCGUGCCAGCAGCCGCGGUAAUACGGAGGGUGCAAGCGUUAAUCGGAAUGACUGGGCGUAAAGCGCACGCAGGCGGUCUGUUAAGUUGGAUGUGAAAUCCCCGGGCUUAACCUGGGAACUGCAUUCAAAACUGACAGGCUAGAGUCUUGUAGAGGGGGGUAGAAUUCCAGGU